ensembl:lncRNA
AUUCUUAUGAAAAUGUUUUUUUGGGUCUUUUGAGGUAGUCUAUAUAGGUGGGUCUGAGGAGAAGAAGAGUCCCUUGUCUAGACUGCUGCCAUGCUUACCCGGAAGUCUAUCUCUCAUCUUAAAAUGAAAGGUCCUUGAAGAUAAGGAUUCUCUUUGCUUUUUAAUUUAUAUCUCCCAGGUUUUAGUAUAGUUCUUGGUACUUAGAGUAGCAGGGGUUUAAUCAGUGUUUCUUGAUUAUUCUAACUAGCCAUUCACAUCCAUUUUAGGAGACACCAUUUCUGAAGUACAGCUAGAGUCUGAAAACUAUCUAAUCUUCUAAAUUCAGAUGCAGCUAAUAGCUUAUAAUCAUGCUCAAAGCAUCCUAUUUGGAAAAAGCUUCAGGAGUGGUUUUACUCAUUGCAAGGCAGAUUAUUCAAUACAAGGAACCUUCCAGGAACUUGAAACAACAGGAGAAAGGAGAAAGGUGUGUGGAAAGAUAUGUCAUGUCUGUCAGGAGCAAUUUGUGAAAAGCAACAACUUUCACUGCAAAUUUUAAAGAUGAGGCAGCCGAAGCAAGGAGGUGUAAAUGACUGGCUUAGGGUCACCGAACUGCUAUAUGAGGUAAGAUUUGAACUCAAGUCUUCCUGAUGUCACGACCAGGACUACUCAACUCUGCAAUAGCCUCAGUCUAAUGUUAC